GACGAACGCUGGCGGCGUGCCUAAUACAUGCCAGUAGAACGCUGAAGAGAGGAGCUUGCUCUUCUUGGAUGAGUUGCGAACGGGUGAGUAACGCGUAGGUAACCUGCCUGGUAGCGGGGGAUAACUAUUGGAAACGAUAGCUAAUACCGCAUAAAAUUGAUUAUUGCAUGAUAAUUAAUUGAAAGAUGCAAUUGCAUCACUACCAGAUGGACCUGCGUUGUAUUAGCUAGUUGGUGAGGUAACGGCUCACCAAGGCGACGAUACAUAGCCGACCUGAGAGGGUGAUCGGCCACACUGGGACUGAGACACGGCCCAGACUCCUACGGGAGGCAGCAGUAGGGAAUCUUCGGCAAUGGGGGGAACCCUGACCGAGCAACGCCGCGUGAGUGAAGAGGGUUUUCGGAUCGUAAAGCUCUGUUGUAAGAGAAGAACGGGUGUGAGAGUGGAAAGUUCACACUGUGACGGUAUCUUACCAGAAAG
rnacentral:rRNA from 1 species